GACGAACGCUGGCGGCGUGCUUAACACAUGCAAGUCGAACGGAAAGGCCCUGCUUUUGUGGGGUGCUCGAGUGGCGAACGGGUGAGUAACACGUGAGUAACCUGCCCUUGACUUUGGGAUAACUUCAGGAAACUGGGGCUAAUACCGGAUAGGAGCUCCUGCUGCAUGGUGGGGGUUGGAAAGUUUCGGCGGUUGGGGAUGGACUCGCGGCUUAUCAGCUUGUUGGUGGGGUAGUGGCUUACCAAGGCUUUGACGGGUAGCCGGCCUGAGAGGGUGACCGGCCACAUGGGGACUGAGGUACGGCCCAGUCUCCUACGGGUGGCAGCAGUGGGGAAUAUUGCACAAUGGGCGGAAGCCUGAUGCAGCAACGCCGCGUGCGGGAUGACGGCCUUCGGGUUGUAAACCGCUUUCGCCUGUGACGAAGCGUGAGUGACGGUAAUGGGUAAAGAAGCACCGGCUAACUACGUG
rnacentral:rRNA from 1 species